UAGAGUUUGAUCAUGGCUCAGAUUGAACGCUGGCGGCAGGCCUAACACAUGCAAGUCGAACGGUAACAGGAAGCAGCUUGCUGCUUCGCUGACGAGUGGCGGACGGGUGAGUAAUGUCUGGGAAACUGCCCGGUGGAGGGGGAUAACUACUGGAAACGGUAGCUAAUACCGCAUAACGUCGCAAGACCAAAGAGGGGGACCUUCGGGCCUCUUGCCACCGGAUGUGCCCAGAUGGGAUUAGCUUGUUGGUGAGGUAACGGCUCACCAAGGCGACGAUCCCUAGCUGGUCUGAGAGGAUGACCAGCCACACUGGAACUGAGACACGGUCCAGACUCCUACGGGAGGCAGCAGUGGGGAAUAUUGCACAAUGGGCGCAAGCCUGAUGCAGCCAUGCCGCGUGUAUGAAGAAGGCCUUCGGGUUGUAAAGUACUUUUCAGCGGGGAGGAAGGGAUUGUGGUUAAUAACCGCAGUCAUUGACGUUACCCGCAGAAGAAGCACCGGCUAACUCCGUGCCAGCAGCCGCGGUAAUACGGAGGGUGCAAGCGUUAAUCGGAAUUACUGGGCGUAAAGCGCACGCAGGCGGUCUGUCAAGUCGGAUGUGAAAUCCCCGGGCUCAACCUGGGAACUGCAUUCGAAACUGGCAGGCUUGAGUCUCGUAGAGGGGGGUGGAAUUCCAGGUGUAGCGGUGAAAUGCGUAGAGAUCUGGAGGAAUACCGGUGGCGAAGGCGGCCCCCUGGACGAAGACUGACGCUCAGGUGCGAAAGCGUGGGGAGCAAACAGGAUUAGAUACCCUGGUAGUCCACGCCGUAAACGAUGUCUACUUGGAGGUUGUGCCCUUGAGGCGUGGCUUCCGGAGCUAACGCGUUAAGUAGACCGCCUGGGGAGUACGGCCGCAAGGUUAAAACUCAAAUGAAUUGACGGGGGCCCGCACAAGCGGUGGAGCAUGUGGUUUAAUUCGAUGCAACGCGAAGAACCUUACCUGGUCUUGACAUCCACGGAAGACUGCAGAGAUGCGGUUGUGCCUUCGGGAGCCGUGAGACAGGUGCUGCAUGGCUGUCGUCAGCUCGUGUUGUGAAAUGUUGGGUUAAGUCCCGCAACGAGCGCAACCCUUAUCCUUUGUUGCCAGCGGUUAGGCCGGGAACUCAAAGGAGACUGCCAGUGAUAAACUGGAGGAAGGUGGGGAUGACGUCAAGUCAUCAUGGCCCUUACGACCAGGGCUACACACGUGCUACAAUGGCAUAUACAAAGAGAAGCGACCUCGCGAGAGCAAGCGGACCUCAUAAAGUAUGUCGUAGUCCGGAUUGGAGUCUGCAACUCGACUCCAUGAAGUCGGAAUCGCUAGUAAUCGUGGAUCAGAAUGCCACGGUGAAUACGUUCCCGGGCCUUGUACACACCGCCCGUCACACCAUGGGAGUGGGUUGCAAAAGAAGUAGGUAGCUUAACCUCCGGGAGGGCGCUUACCACUUUGUGAUUCAUGACUGGGGUGAAGUCGUAACAAGGUAACCGUA
rnacentral:rRNA from 1 species